GAUGAACGCUGGGAGUAUGCUUAACACAUGCAAGUCGUACGGAAAUUUUUAGCAAUAAAAAUUUGAGUGGCGGACGGGUGAGUAACGCGUAAGAAUCUUCCUUAAGGAGAGGGAUAACUAUUGGAAACGAUGGGUAAUCCCUCAUAUGGAGUCAUCUGAAAAAGAGUGAAGCUUGCUUCAAGUCUGCCUUAAGAUGAGCUUGCGUCUGAUUAGCUAGUUGGUGAGGUAAUGGCUUACCCAAGGCGACGAUCAGUAGCUGAUUUGAGAGAAUGAUCAGCCACACUGGGACUGAGACACGGCCCAGACUCCUACGGGAGGCAGCAGUGAGGAAUUUUUCGCAAUGGGCGCAAGCCUGACGGAGCAAUACUGCGUGGAGGAUGAAGGCCCGUGGGCUGUAAACUCCUUUUCCCAAAAAAGAAGUUCUGACGGUAUUCGGGGAAUAAGCAUCAGCUAACUGCGUGCCAGCAGCUGCGGUAAUACGUGGGAUGCAAGCGUUAUCCGGAUUUAUUGGGCGUAAAGCGUCUGUAGGUGGCUUUGCAAGUUUGUUGUUAAAGAAUUCAGCUCAACUGGGUUUCAGCAUCAAAAACUACUAAGCUUGAGUCAAGUAGAGGAAAAGGGAAUUCCCUGUGGAGCGGUGAAAUGCCUAGAGAUAGGGAAGACCCCAAAGGCGAAGCCUUUUCUGGCAUUGACUGACCUGAGAGACGAAA
rnacentral:rRNA from 1 species